CGGCAGUCACCCCUUGAAGCCACCACCGGCGACAUCGCCCCCUCUCCUCUUUUUCGUAGCAGCCUAGGGUUGGGGGGUGUGCCUCGCCAACGCUGUCUCUUCCAUCCGACGACCACCGCGUCGCUCUCACCUGCUCCAGUCUCAAUGUCGCACACUGUGGCCCUCCGCUGGCGGACAUCAACGACCAUAACAGCAAGAUCUCCCCCUUCACCCCUCAUCGCGCGAGAGAGAGGGAACGUUCUCCUCACUUGGUCACCGCACCAGCCAGGGUGCCACCGGCGUUAUUGGUCACUGCCAAGGCGAACGCCGACGUCAACGUCUUCCCUCCUCCCUCGUAUUCGUAGUCCGUCACCAAAGGGCCACGAUUUCAACUCAACUUACGCACCUUACGGAUUGGGGGAAGAUGGCUUGUGGGUGAAAAAUUUGAUGAAGAUAGAUUUGAGAAAUUGAAACAACAUUAAGACAUUGAAUUUGAUGUUGGCUAUUGGUUGCAGGUCACGAAUGGACUCUAAAUCAUAUUAGGGGCAGAGGUAUUUGACACUUUGUUUUGGUGUGUUUUGUUUUUUUGUUUGUUUCGUUGGGGGAAGAAUUAAAGGAAAAGGUGUUGUUGAUAUGGUUUCAGUGUGUAGGUUGAGGAUGAUGGUGUUGUUGGGUAGCAAUGGAGAUUACCAUUAUAGAAGGCAAAGAUGGCGGUGAUUAAACAAGCUACAGGUGACUUCAAUAUAAUUGUGCAUUGGAUAGUGAUAGAAAAUGUGAAAUAUUCAUGCCUCAAUAUCAUACACGAAUGUUCACAACAUAGUAAGAAAAUAUUCAAUAACAGUCAUAUGCAAACAUAGCAGCAAUGCAUCAAUAAUAUAUUCAUAGGCAAGCAACCAGUCUCACUAACACAUGGAGCGCAAGGCAUUACUUACCUCUUGAAGAUUCGAUUACUAUUACCAACCUUGUGUCUCCAACGUAUCUCUUCCUUUUUUCUGGCUAGCUACCUUCUCCCCUUCUCUUUUCUGUGAAUGAUGCCUCCUCUUCCCAGAAAUGGGUGAUGAUCCUUUGAUAGUGAAGAGAGCUUUUUCGUCCUCUGCCUUCAGUGAGAGUCAACCUUCUCGUUAUCAGAGUGAAUCCUCCCCAAAAUCACUCAUGCUUUGCUUUUUCUUUGCUUUAUCCCAGAAAUCCCCAUAACAAAAAUCGCCUCUGCCACCUCCCACCGAAUGAUAUUUUGACACCAAUUUUUUUACACCAUUUUGAUACGUGUGCAGUGUCAAAAUGUGGUUGGAGGAUUUCAAAUUAAAAAAAAAAAACUUUGGUUUUUUUCUUCCAAAUAUGUCUUUGUUUAAGCUUUUUUAAUUUGAAAUCGUCCAACCACGUUUUGACAUGUGUGUAGUGUCAGGAUAGUGUCAAAAUUUGGUGCCAAAAUAUCAUUUUCUCCUCCCAAAACCUUGCGCCCUCUUUUUUUCUUUUCCUUUUUUCUUGUUUUUUAUUUCAUUUUUCUUUUUUUUCUUUUCUUUUUUCGUUUUUUUUUCUUUUUUUCUUUUUUUUUUCUUUCUUUAUUAAAAGAAUAUAGAAAAAUGAAAUUAAAUCCAAUAAUAAAAAAACUAAAUCAAAUACUAAGUAGUAAAACAAAAAUUAAAAAUAAGGUUUAAUACAUCAUUUGGUCCCUUCAUUUGGGGCUUUUGUUCAAAAUGAUUUCACCUUCGGAAAAAAAUAUUUAGGUAGAAUAUUUCAUUAAAAGUUGUUUAAAAUAGUUCUUUUGGCAGACGACGUUAAAUUCUUAACGGUGCAGAUGCUAGCGUGACAAACUUUUAUCCAGCUGUUUAAAACUUAUCUGACGUGGCUUUUUGAAGACAUUUUAAUGUUUUAAAAUUGAGGAUUAAAAUGAAAUGAAAAAAUUAGGCUAAUUAAAAAAGCCCUAACCCUUAUCUGAUAACGCCAUUUUUGUCGCGAUUUCUCAUAACGCCAUUGUUGUUCAUUUCUGGUGAUUUCUGCUAACGCCAUUGCUGAUUGAUUGAAGGUGGAAGUUCAACAUCGCACNNNNN
rnacentral:lncRNA from 1 species